CCCGAAGAUGGUGAACUAUGCCUGAGCAGGGUGAAGCCAGGGGAAACUCUGGUGGAGGCUCGUAGCGAUACUGACGUGCAAAUCGUUCGUCAGACUUGGGUAUAGGGGCGAAAGACUAAUCGAACCAUCUAGUAGCUGGUUCCCUCCGAAGUUUCCCUCAGGAUAGCUAGAGUCUUUAUCAGUUUUGUCAGGUAAAGCGAAUGAUUAGAGGUUCCGGGGAAGUAACUUCCUCGACCUAUUCUCAAACUUUAAAUGGGCAAGAUCCAGUAGUUACUUAAUUGAACUAUUGGGGUCAAUGAGACGACUCUAAGUGGGCCAUUUUUGGUAAGCAGAACUGGCGAUGAGGGAUGAACCUAACGCUCGGUUAAGGUGCUAAACUGCUCGCUCAUCAGAUACCACAAAGGGUGUUGGUCGAUCUUAACAGCAGGACGGUGGUCAUGGAAGUCGAAAUCCGCUAAGGAGUGUGUAACAACUCACCUGCCGAAUCGACUAGCCCCGAAAAUGGAUAGCGCUGAAGCGAGUGACCGAUACCGGGCCAUUGUUGCAAGAUAAUUGGCAACAAUGAGUAGGAGGGCGUGGGGGUUGUGAAGAAGCUUGGACGUGAGUCUGAGUGAAACAGCUUCCAGUGCAGAUCUUGGUGGUAGUAGCAAGUAUUCAAUAAGAGAACAUUGAAGGCCGAAGUGGGGAAGGGUUCCAUGUGAACAGCACUUGGACAUGGGUUAGCCGAUCCUGAGAGACAGGUUAAAUUCCAUCGGAUUGGAGCUUUGGCUCUGUUUCUCGAAAGGGAAGCUGGUUAGUAUUCCAGCGCCGAGACGUGGAUAAUAUGUGGCAACACAAGUGAACUCGGACACGCC
rnacentral:ncRNA from 1 species